UUAUCUUGCUUGGGUGCUCCAAAGUCUGAGAAGUCAAAAAAUGUUGUAAUGCUCCCCCGACGCCCCCAUUUGAUUGAUUUCCUGAAAGCUUCAUAUGUUGGGUUGUCCAGAUAUCUUUCUUUUGGAAGAAGGCCUGAAUUUCAAUCUACAAGCAGCUUCCCUAUCAGUAAGUGAUGUUGACUUCCCAAGUGCCUGAAUAAUGAAUGUGGCAAUAGGCAUGGAUAUCCUGUUUUAGAUGCUACUAAGAAAAUGAUUUUAUGAUCUUUCAUUUUUUAUAUAUUUAAUAUAUUAUUUUGAGCCAUUCUAUGAAAGAAAAUCCUUUAAAAUUCUUUAUUAGUAUUUAAACUAUCUGUUGAUUUGUUACAAAGUAUUAUGAAUAAUUUGAUCGUAGCUAAAUAAUUAUUUUGUAUUAUUAUUCACGGUUACGCAUAUCAGCAAAGCAAAUUCAUUCAAGUAGGAUUUGAUUUGGGGUGAUAGGUUGUGUUUAAUUUGAUAAUUUAGGUAGACAUAAAUAUCUAUGUCCUAUCACUGAGCUUUUUUGAUUUUGUUGACAGACUGAAGAAGUUUUUACACGGGGCCUGGAAAUAGUAUUCCAUAAAAAAUGAAUUUGGAGAUCCAUUAGU
rnacentral:misc_RNA from 1 species